GGUCAAGCGAACAAGGGCGCAGGGCGAAUGCCUUGGCACUGGGAGCCGAUGAAAGACGUGAUAAGCUGCGAUAAGCUUCGGGGAGCUGCAAAUAAGCAUUGAUCCGGAGAUUUCUGAAUGAGGAAACUCACCUGGGUUCAUACUCAGGUACGUUAUACUGAACUUAAAAAUAGGUAUAUCGAGGGAACCGCCUGAACUGAAACAUCUAAGUAGGGCGAGGAAGAGACAUCAAACGAGAUUCCGUAAGUAGUGGCGAGCGAACGCGGAAGAGGGCAAACCGGGAGUAGAAAUACUUCCGGGGUACGGACCGCAUUUAGGACUUGAGUUGUUAACCGAACGGCAUGGGAAGGCCGGUCAGAGAGUGUGAGAACCACGUAGGUGAAAACGACAAGAGCUGAGCGAGUUCCAGAGUACGGCCAGACACGUGAAACCUGGUCGGAAUACGGGGGGACCACCCUCCAACCCUAAAUACUACCCAGUGACCGAUAGCGUAUAGUACUGUGAAGGAAAGGUGAAAAGCACCCCGGGAGGGGAGUGAAAAAGAACCUGAAACCCUGUGCCUACAAGCACCUAGAGCACGUCAAUGUGUGAUAGGGUACUUUUUGUAGAACGGUCCGGCGAGCGAUUGUAUGCAGCAAGGUUAAGGACUUAAGGUCUGGAGCCGAAGCGAAAGCGAGUUUGAAAAGGGCGUUAAGUUGCAUACAAUGGGCCCGAAACCGGGUGACCUACCCAUGGUCAGGUUGAAGUGGAAGUAAAAUUCCAUGGAGGACCGAACCGACCUCCGUUGAAAAGGCGGCGGAUGAACUGUGGGUAGCGGAGAAAUUCCAAUCGAACCCGGAGAUAGCUGGUUCUCCCGAAAUAGUUUUAGGACUAGCCUCAAGUUAGAUACCUGGAGGUAAAGCACUGAAUAGCCUAGCGGCCGAGAGGUUAGCGAAGCUUAUCAAACUCAGAAUGCCAGAGUAUUGAUGCUUGGGAGUCAGACAGUGUCAGAUAAAUGUCAUUGUCAAAAGGGAAACAGCCCAGAUCUACAGCUAAGGUCCCAAAGUCAGGUUAAGUGGAAAACGAUGUGAAGAUACGUAGACAACCAGGAUGUUGGCUCAGAAGCAGCCACACAUUCAAAGAGUGCGUAAUAGCUCACUGGUCGAGCGUCUUUGCGCGGAGAAUUUAACGGGGCUAAACCUGACACCGAAGCUUAGGCAAUACAGUAAUGUAUUGGGUAGGGGAGCGUUGUAUACGCGGUGAAACAGUAGCGCAAGCGGCUGUGGAGUGUAUAGAAGUGAGAAUGCCGGAAUGAGUAGCGCGAAUGCAGUGAGAAUCUGCAUGGCCGAAAGCCUCAGGUUUCUGGAGGAAGGUUCGUCCGCUCCAGGUUAGUCGGGAGCUAAGGUGAGGCCUAACGGCGUAGCCGAUGCACAGACGGUAGAGAUUCCGUCACCACCAAAAGAGUUAAACACAGGGACACAUUUGAAGUCUCGGAGCCGGGUGUUGGUUCCGGUAGCGAUCGAGGGAAAUUAGUACCGAAGUCCGGGAUGGAAGAUGGCGAGAAAAGCUGUGUGUAUUUCUGCGGUGCCCGUACCGCAAACCGACACAGGUAGGUAGGAAGAAGAUUCUAAGGCCAACGGGAGAAGGGUUGUUAAGGAACUCGGCAAAUUGACCCCGUAACUUCGGGAGAAGGGGUGCUCUAGAGAUGGAGCCGCAGAGAAUCGGCCCAAGCAACUGUUUACCAAAAACACAGGUUUGUGCUAAAUCGAAAGAUGACGUAUACGAGCUGACGCCUGCCCGGUGCUGGAAGGUUAAGAGGAGAUGUGCAAGCAUUGAAUCGAAGCCCCAGUGAACGGCGGCCGUAACUAUAACGGUCCUAAGGUAGCGAAAUUCCUUGUCAGGUAAGUUCUGACCCGCAUGAAAGGCGUAAUGAUUUGGGCACUGUCUCAACAGCCCGCCCGGCGAAAUUGUAGUACCGGUGAAGAUGCCGGUUACCCGCGACAAGACGGAAAGACCCCAUGGAGCUUUACUGUAGCCUAAUAUUGGGUUUCGAUGUUGCAUGCACAGGAUAGAUGGGACACUGGGAAGCAAGAGCUUUGGCUUUUGUGGAGUGGCCGUUGGGAUACCAUCCUUGCGAUAUUGGAAUUCUAACCUGCGCCUUUGAAUCAAGGCGGGGGACAUUGUUAGGUGGGCAGUUUGACUGGGGCGGUCGCCUCUUAAAGAGUAACGGAGGCGUUCAAAGGUUCGCUCAGCUUGAACGGAAAUCAAGCAAAAGAGUGCAAACGCAGAAGCGAGCCUAACUGCGAGACUGACGGGUCGAGCAGUAACGAAAGUUGGAGUUAGUGAUCCGGUGGUAUGUGAGUGGAAAUGCCAUCGCUCAACGGAUAAAAGUUACCCUGGGGAUAACAGGCUGAUCUCCCCCAAGAGUCCACAUCGACGGGGAGGUUUGGCACCUCGAUGUCGGCUCAUCGCAUCCUGGGGCUGUAUUCGGUCCCAAGGGUUUGGCUGUUCGCCAAUUAAAGCGGUACGCGAGCUGGGUUCAGAACGUCGUGAGACAGUUCGGUCCCUAUCUGUCGUGGGCGCAGGAUAUUUGAUGGGAGCUGUUCCUAGUACGAGAGGACCGGAGCGGACGUACCUCUGGCGCACCAGUUGUUCUGCCAAGGGCAUAGCUGGGCAACUAUGUACGGAUCGGAUAAACGCUGAAAGCAUCUAAGCGUGAAGCCGACCCAAAGAUAAGAUAUCCCAUUGUUUCAAACAAGUAAGACCCCUUGAAGACUACAAGGUUGAUAGGCACGAUGUGUAAGUGGAGCGAUCCAUUCAGCAAGCGUGUACUAAUAGGUCGAGGGUUUGACCAC
rnacentral:rRNA from 1 species